rnacentral:rRNA from 1 species
GGAGGAUGCGAGCGUUAUCCGGAUNUAUNGGGUNUAAAGGGAGCGCAGACGGGUCGUUAAGUCAGCNGUGAAAGNUUGGGGCUCAACCUUAAAAUNGCAGUNGAUACUGGCGUCCUNGAGUGCGGUNGAGGUGUGCGGAAUUCGUGGUGUAGCGGUGAAAUGCUUAGAUAUCACGAAGAACUCCGAUUGCGAAGGCAGCACACUAAGCCGUAACUGACGUUCAUGCUCGAAAGUGUGGGUAUCAAACAGGAUUAGAUACCCUGGUAGUCCACACGGUAAACGAUGGAUACUCGCUGUUGGCGAUAUACGGUCAGCGGCUUAGCGAAAGCGUUAAGUAUCCCACCUGGGGAGU